rnacentral:rRNA from 1 species
GGCGGGACACGUGGUAUCCUGUCUGAAUAUGGGGGGACCAUCCUCCAAGGCUAAAUACUCCUGACUGACCGAUAGUGAACCAGUACCGUGAGGGAAAGGCGAAAAGAACCCCGGCGAGGGGAGUGAAAAAGAACCUGAAACCGUGUACGUACAAGCAGUGGGAGCACAGGUUUACCUGUGUGACUGCGUACCUUUUGUAUAAUGGGUCAGCGACUUAUAUUCUGUAGCAAGGUUAACCGUAUAGGGGAGCCGGAGGGAAACCGAGUCUUAACCGGGCGUUAAGUUGCAGGGUAUAGACCCGAAACCCGGUGAUCUAGCCAUGGGCAGGUUGAAGGUUGGGUAACACUAACUGGAGGACCGAACCGACUAAUGUUGAAAAAUUAGCGGAUGACCUGUGGCUGGGGGUGAAAGGCCAAUCAAACCGGGAGAUAGCUGGUUCUCCCCGAAAGCUAUUUAGGUAGCGCCUCGUGAAUUCAUCUCCGGGGGUAGAGCACUGUUUCGGCUAGGGGGCCAUCCCGGCUUACCAACCCGAUGCAAACUGCGAAUACCGGAGAAUGUUAUCACGGGAGACACACGGCGGGUGCUAACGUCCGUCGUGAAGAGGGAAACAACCCAGACCGCCAGCUAAGGUCCCAAAGUCAUGGUUAAGUGGGAAACGAUGUGGGAAGGCCCAGACAGCCAGGAUGUUGGCUUAGAAGCAGCCAUCAUUUAAAGAAAGCGUAAUAGCUCACUGGUCGAGUCGGCCUGCGCGGAAGAUGUAACGGGGCUAAACCAUGCACCGAAGCUGCGGCAGCGACGUUUAUGCGUUGUUGGGUAGGGGAGCGUUCUGUAAGCCUGCGAAGGUGGCCUGUGAGGGUUGCUGGAGGUAUCAGAAGUGCGAAUGCUGACAUAAGUAACGAUAAAGCGGGUGAAAAGCCCGCUCGCCGGAAGACCAAGGGUUCCUGUCCAACGUUAAUCGGGGCAGGGUGAGUCGACCCCUAAGGCGAGGCCGAAAGGCGUAGUCGAUGGGAAACGGGUUAAUAUUCCCGUACUUGGUGUUACUGCGAAGGGGGGACGGAGAAGGCUAUGUUGGCCGGGCGACGGUUGUCCCGGUUUAAGCGUGUAGGCUGGUUUUCCAGGCAAAUCCGGAAAAUCAAGGCUGAGGCGUGACGACGAGGCACUACGGUGCUGAAGCAACAAAUGCCCUGCUUCCAGGAAAAGCCUCUAAGCAUCAGGUAACAUCAAAUCGUACCCCAAACCGACACAGGUGGUCAGGUAGAGAAUACCAAGGCGCUUGAGAGAACUCGGGUGAAGGAACUAGGCAAAAUGGUGCCGUAACUUCGGGAGAAGGCACGCUGACACGUAGGUGAAGUGAUUUACUCAUGGAGCUGAAGUCAGUCGAAGAUACCAGCUGGCUGCAACUGUUUAUUAAAAACACAGCACUGUGCAAACACGAAAGUGGACGUAUACGGUGUGACGCCUGCCCGGUGCCGGAAGGUUAAUUGAUGGGGUCAGCGCAAGCGAAGCUCCUGAUCGAAGCCCCGGUAAACGGCGGCCGUAACUAUAACGGUCCUAAGGUAGCGAAAUUCCUUGUCGGGUAAGUUCCGACCUGCACGAAUGGCGUAAUGAUGGCCAGGCUGUCUCCACCCGAGACUCAGUGAAAUUGAACUCGCUGUGAAGAUGCAGUGUACCCGCGGCAAGACGGAAAGACCCCGUGAACCUUUACUAUAGCUUGACACUGAACAUUGAGCCUUGAUGUGUAGGAUAGGUGGGAGGCUUUGAAGUGUGGACGCCAGUCUGC